AGAGCGAAGGGUUCCUGGUGGCACCAGGGGGUGUGUAGAUCGGCAAUCUCCUAGACCUGGUUGUACAGGACUGGCUGUGGGUUCGAAACCCCCCAGUUUCUGGGGCCUGGAGCAUAUCCGAGUAGUUCUGUCUUCAGAUCUAGGCUUUAGGACGUGGUAACUGAGUAGUUCUGUCUUCAGGUCUAGGCUUUAGGACGUGGUAACUGAGUAGUUCUGUCUUCAGGUCUAGGCUUUAGGAUGUGGUAACUGAGUAGUUCUGUCUUCAGGUCUAGGCUUUAGGAUGUGGUAACUGAGUAGUUCUGUCUUCAGGUCUAGGCUUUAGGAUGUGGUAACUGAGUAGUUCUGUCUUCAGGUCUAGGCUUUAGGAUGUGGUAACUGAGUAGUUCUGUCUUCAGGUCUAGGCUUUAGGACGUGGUAACUGAGUAGUUCUGUCUUCAGGUCUAGGCUUUAGGACGUGGUAACUGAGUAGUUCUGUCUUCAGGUCUAGGCUUUAGGACGUGGUAACUGAGUAGUUCAUUCAUCCUUCAGAUCUAGGCUUUAGGACGUGGUAACUGAGUAGUUCUGUCUUCAGAUCUAGGCUUUAGGACGUGGUAACUGAGUAGUUCUGUCUUCAGAUCUAGGCUUUAGGACGUGGUAACUGAGUAGUUCUGUCUUCAGGUCUAGGCUUUAGGACGUGGUAACUGAGUAGUUCAUUCAUCCUUCAGGUCUAGGCUUUAGGACGUGGUAACUGAGUAGUUCUGUCUUCAGGUCUAGGCUUUAGGAUGUGGUAACUGAGUAGUUCUGUCUUCAGGUCUAGGCUUUAGGACGUGGUAACUGAGUAGUUCUGUCUUCAGGUCUAGGCUUUAGGACGUGGUAACUGAGUAGUUCUGUCUUCAGAUCUAGGCUUUAGGACGUGGUAACUGAGUAGUUCUGUCUUCAGGUCUAGGCUUUAGGACGUGGUAACUGAGUAGUUCUGUCUUCAGGUCUAGGCUUUAGGACGUGGUAACUGAGUAGUUCUGUCUUCAGAUCUAGGCUUUAGGACGUGGUAACUGAGUAGUUCUGUCUUCAGGUCUAGGCUUUAGGACGUGGUAACUGAGUAGUUCAUUCAUCCUUCAGUUCUAGGCUCAUGCCUUGCAGAGGCCUGUCGGUGCCAGCGUGGAUUAUAUUUUGUUGACUGUCCGGUGCUCUUCAACUUGCCUUGAUUGAAUCCCAGCCUAUGUGGACACUUUACUAAAUGUCAU